rnacentral:rRNA from 1 species
GACGAACGCUGGCGGCGUGCUUAACACAUGCAAGUCGAACGGAAAGGCCCCUUUGGGGGUACUCGAGUGGCGAACGGGUGAGUAACACGUGAGUAACCUGCCCUUGACUUCGGGAUAACUUCAGGAAACUGGGGCUAAUACCGGAUAGGAAUCCUUGCUGCAUGGUGGGGGUUGGAAAGCUUCGGCGGUUUUGGAUGGACUCGCGGCUUAUCAGCUUGUUGGUGGGGUAGUGGCUUACCAAGGCUUUGACGGGUAGCCGGCCUGAGAGGGCGACCGGCCACAUUGGGACUGAGAUACGACCCAGACUCCUACAGGAGGCAGCAGUGUUGAAUAUUCCACAAUGGGCGGAAGCCUGAUGCAGCAACGCCGCGUGCGGGAUGACGGCCUUCGGGUUGUAAACCGCUUUCAGCAGGGGCGAAGCUUGUGGUGACGGUACCUGCAGAAGAAGCACAGGCUAACUACGU